UAACCGUAACAUCACAGUCCCAGACAGAAACGCAAGCCUCAACUCAAAAAUGGCGACAACUGAUUCUCCUCCGGUCGGCGCGAUACUCCCCGACGAUCUGAUCACCGAGAUUCUCAUACGCCUCCCUGUUAAAUACAUAUUCCGCUGCCAAUCCGUCUCUAAAGCCUGGCUUUCCCUAAUUAAAAACCCUAAUUUCGUCAAAUCUCAGCUCCGUCACUCAAUCGAAAGCUUCAACACUAAUCAAACCCUCAUCGUCAACACCCUCGAUGAAUACGAGGAAAGUCACACCUCAAUUUCACUCCUCAGCGUCGAUUUUCGUCGAAUUGUGGCUCGUCUCAGGUUUCCGUUUUCUCGAGGUGAGUUUGAUUAUGUGCCUGAUUGUAUACUCGUUGGUUCUGCUAAUGGCAUUGUUUGUCUUUCUGUUGCUCUUUCUGAAACUCCUCCUGAAUAUAAAUGGCAUUGUUCGCCUUUCGCGAAUCGUGAAACUAAUACUUAUCUGUGGAAUCCUGCUACUAGACAGUCGAAAGUUAUUCCGUCGUAUAGUAUAUGUCAUGAUUAUCGUAGAGAGGCUUUGGGGUUUGGUUUUGACCCGAUAGAUAAUGAUUUUAAGGUUGUUAGGAUUGUAGCGCCCCCCUUUUCCGCAGAGGUGUAUUCGGCUAAUAGGAAUGCUUGGAGAAAGUUGCCUGGGCCGGUAGUUCUUCCUUUUGAUGAUGCUUUUGAUGUUUGUGUUAAUGGAUUCCUUUGUUGCACUGGAUUGUAUGGUGUGAUGGCGUUCGAUUUGAACAAGGAGGUGAUGAAUAGUGGUUUAAAGUUCCCUGUUACGACCUCUAAUGCUCGUGUCACCGAGUUUGAUGCGUCUAUUGCUUUAUUGCUAUGGAGGAAUAAGAAUUCGAGUAACCAGAUUGAUAUGUGGAAGUUGGAUGAUGAGGCAUGCCUGCGUGGUGGUGGAGUAGAGGCAUCUUGGACUAUAGUUUUUAGUGUUGAUUUGGAUCUGACGGUAGAUUCUGUUCACGGCUACUUACCCAGAGGGGAUAUCUUACUGAUGACUGAUGAGGGCGUGUGGUGUUUGUAUGACACCAACAAGAAAAAGGCCACAAUUGUCCCGGUUGCAAUUGAUAUGCAUCAAACUUUCAAGUAUACAGAGAGCCUAGUUUCAGUCUCGGGAUUCAAACAAGUCAACUAGAAUGCUCGGAAAGAUGAUAAUUUAAAAAGCAAUGAGGAUUCUGGCUGGCUAUCGACAGUUGAUACUUGAGACAGUUCGACGCCACAACCUUUUGCAGGCUGUUAUCUGCUGUCUGUUAUCUCUUGUGAUAUUACUCGAUCCUCACCUACCUAGUUGAGUUUCUUACGAUCCUAGGUUGUUUACAUGCUUAGUGUUCUACGCGAAGGGAAGAGAGGCUGUAGCUGUUCCUAUCUGUAUCUAAUGUGCCGGUGGGACUCGAGCUCGGCUCGACUCGGCGCAAACUUGUUAUCGAGCUCGAACAGAUAUUUGGACUAAAUUAAAAACUCAAGUCGAGCCAAGUUGACUCCCGCCCUCCCUCCCUCACUCACUCACGACUCUCCAAGUAUGAAUUUCUACAAUUGUUCACGGUUACUUCUGUAGUGGAGAUCUCUUACUGAUGACUGAUGCUGGAAGAGCUUGGUCCGUUUAAAAUUGUAAGGUUAUGUUUUCUACUUGGAUAAUUUCUGAAAUGGGUGAAUCCUUGAGAAAUUGCAAAGUGGGCGCCAUGUUUGGCCCGACUACACUGCAAGGAUUGAUAUUGAUAGGGAUUCUUCUCCUGGGUUGCUACAUGGUUUUAAACUUCUUUCGUUCUUCCUUUCAUAAGUUACUCCUGGUGUGGUCCUCUGAUUUUGAGAGAAAUGAUUCAGGUAUUCUUUCUCACUCUGUAAAGAUUGUAUAAUAGAAAGAUUACAGUGUUAAUUUUUGAGCAGCUAGAUACAUCAAAGUAGAUUGGUUUCUGUGAUGUCUUCGGGGGAGAUCAUUGUUGAAUGAUGCAGAGCGGAUAGUAAAGGUAAAUUGUAACAGUGAGUUCAUCAUUGUGUAGAUUCCGAUCAGCUUUUGCUUUUUUUGCCCAAAAUUAAUCGAUCUUGAUGUGAUCAUCAACAGGUGGUGGAAAAGCUAGCUCUCAUUUAAUUUAAUUUUUUCUUUUCUCAGUCUACUAAUUUAAAAAGUGGAACUUUUCUUAUCACAGGGUUUGUUGAAAAUUGAGGGUAAAUAAAAUUAUUCAUCAAUUUUAUCUCCAAGUAAAGAAAACUUGAUUAUUUUCCAAAUGAAAAUUGAAAACUACAUUAUGUACUUGUUUUGUCAUUGUAAUCAGAAGAACUAAAACUCUAGUAAAUUAACAUGUUGCGUGUACGUUUCACCUAAUAAGCCUUAUAAACGGGAUACAAAAUUGCACUUAAUUAACACACAAAUGCAUGUAAUCUUAUAUGAAGACACAUGUCGGUACCUCCUACACGUGUUCAAUGCCUGAAGUGUGUUUUAAGCCCUUGUAAACUUCAAGAGAAGCUUUGUUUGCAUGUAGUAGCACUAUAUUGUCUCUGCAUAUGCAAGGACAAUCCUGAGGAGGAAUCGAAGGUGUUGAGUUCUUCACCAGGUGUUCUGUUUUAUGGUUUGGCAACAAUAUUUACUUGAAAUUUACUGUACUGUGUCUGAUGCAAUUCAUCUUUAUACUUCAUUUUACAUUGUGAUGCAGAUCAUCCGUUAGUUACUCACCGUUGAGGCGAUGUCGAGGACUCGUGCUUCUGGCCAGAGGAAUGAUUGUCCAAAUGCGCUGCACCGUGCUCGCUCGGAGCUACGACGUGCUGCUUCCAGCAUUCUCGGGAUCGUGGACCAGCUUAAGGAAGUCAACCAGGAUACUCGAGAACAUAAUCAGUAUCAGGAAUCUAUGAUCAAUGCACUUGCUGUUGAGAACUUUCAGCUCAAAGAAGAGAAUGGAGCGGCUAAAGAGCUGCUUAUUUCGAAUCUGCCAGAGUAUUUUAGUGAGUAUGGAAUAGAGAUCAAAGCUAUGGAGAGAUAGAUAUAUCUCCUUUCAUCAACAUCUAUUCGAAAAGACAGUCGGCUAAACUGUCCAAUGAUGCCACGAUAAUGAAAGCCACCCAGGAGUGUACACAAUGGCAGGAAAAACUUAAAGACCCGGCUUGGUACCCUUUCAAGAAAGUGAAGGAAGGAGGAAUUGAGAAAGUAUGAUCAUCAUGAGACUGAGAUGGUGGACGAAGAAGAUGCAGAGCUGAAGAAGCUGCGGAAAGAAAUGGGGGUAUCUGUUUAAGGCUGUAAAGAGGGGUCUAGAGGAAAUCAAUGAACAUAACCCAAGCGGACGCUAUCCUGUUGCGAAGCUGUGGCAUGUGGAAGAUAAUAGAGAGGCAAGACUCGACGAGAUUGUGGAGUGUAUGAUGAAGAAAACAACUCCCAAGCGCAAAAGAGUUGGUGAUGAAGAAAACAACUCCCCAGCGCAGAAGAGUUAAUUCCUGAUAACGCUACCAAUGCAUGUGCUUCUGGUGGAUGAAAAUGUGAACCUCAACAUUUGGUUAGCUCAGUAAAGCAAGAUAGUUAGCGGCCAGCUUUUAUUCAACUUUGGUUUUGUGCACGCUUUAGCAACAGUUCAAGUUUAGGUUGAUAAUAUGCUUAAUUGGCCAUAUCCUGGUUGAUUAGUACUGAUCUUUUCAUGUAUUGUAUACUCUAUUUUCAUGGAUGCUGCUGCUUGUUUCUGUUUUGGUGGUCUGCAGAAUAUAUCAACCCGGCUUGAAUUUAUGUAAUUUAUAUUGUAGGAUAUUAUAUUGA